rnacentral:lncRNA from 10 species
CGACAUAAUAAUUUCUUUGACCUCCACCACAUGAGUUUCUGAAAAGAACAAAACAGCAUCAUUCCCUGGCAUUUACAGUUUAAACCUUUCCUAUUCAAGUUUCUAACAAAAAAAGCCACCAACCCAUUCUGGCCGUGAUUAAAAUUCAUAGGCUUGCUGCAGAGAACAGAUGCAGAAGCAAUUUUAGGCCAGUCAUAUCCCAGGUCUGCAAAAUUAAUUUGACAGGUUUGCAUUAAAGCACUGAUCAAUAUCCACUUUAGAGCGGCAGAGGCUAACUGAGAAAAAAUAAGUGACCGGAGUGUUACCAGACGAGAAAAAAUGAAUCUUUGAGACUUUUUUUCCCUCUAAGCUUGCACCUACAUCAGAAGUCCUGACCUCAAUCCAUUGAUCGGCUGCAGUUAACAUGACAAAAGGCCCAGCAGAUAGACCAUCUCAGCCUACCAGGGAACAAUCACCCGGAUACACUAAAUGUUUGACGGAGUGACUGGACUGCAGAAUUAGUCUUGGCUUUCCGAGGUCGGCCACCAGCCCGGUCUUACUGAAUCCUCCCCCUCCCUCCCCUAAAGCCAUUUGCAGAGACUCAACUUUUCCUAAAUUUUCUCCCACGGAUGGUGUAGGGAUGUGGUCCGGGGAAGGUGGGAACUGGCUCAAUUCAGCCACCAAGAAAAGGAGGCAAUGAAGUCCAAAUCUUUCUUCACGCAGCACUUUAAAAUGGAAGCACCAACGCUGGCAUCAGCAGAGUCCUUCAAAGAAUUUGAUUCAGUGGAGGCCAACUCAACAAAAUAGAAAGCCCCAGAUGGACAGCCAUUGGCUGCACCUGGAGCAGACAAUUGAGAGGCCUGGCUCAUGGAUGGGUUUGAACCACCUCAGGACUGAAGAUGAGCGGCUCAGUUUCACUAACAACAAGAACAGUGACAAAUUCCCUGCCCGGCCCAAGCUCUGUGGUCCUUAUGCAGAUGCCAGUGGCACCCCUGUCCCAGAUGUGACAACCAAAAAUGAUGUCAGACAUUGCUGAAUUGUCCCCUGGAGGAGGAGAAAAAUCAACCCCUUUGAGAACUGCUGGGCAGCUCUAAAGGUCAUCCCUAAGUUCAGGGUGAGGAGAUGACCUACCCUUCUGCCCCGCAACGCCAUCCUACAUCUGAAAUUCUUCUUAAGGGCAUGGUGGAAACCCUUACCUUUGAGAUGAGCCCAGUACCAGCACUAACAUAUGGAACCAUAGAGUUGACACUGGAGGAACCCCCAGGUUUCAUUUGAGAGGACACUGGAGUUCAGCGUGGAAGAAAGGCCUGCCCAAAGUCACACAGCCCAGGGCUCCUGGCAGGGAGCCACGGCUGCUUUCUCUGCUCCAUACUGGAAUUAAAGGUUGAAUUCCAGGCAAUUUUCCAGUUCCUAGUCCCACUGGAUGGAAAGUCAACACACCUGGUUCUCUCAGUGAUCUGAAAUCACAUGCAGAAAUCCACUCCUUAGUCACAAAGAGAAGUUAGUGGAAGUGUGUUUUGUUCCUAGUUAUCCUCUCCAAAGGUUCAGCCCUUUGCAUUCCCUUAGGAGAAAACAGGGCCUGCCCUCCUCAUGUCUGUCACCUGUCCAAGAUCAUUCCUUCUAUCAUUCACCUCCCAUUAACCAAAAUCCCCUUCUCUAGGUACCUGGGUCUUGGACAGCUGUCAAGUGGAAAGCCUUCUGAUUAACUAAUACUAUAAUGUAAAUGACUGCAAAGUUCCCUCUUGUGAUAACUGAGUCCUGGACAGUGGUCAAGGAAGAAAUCCUUCUUAUUAAUUCCCAGUAAGAUGUGAAUCACUGACAACUAGCUCUCCAAUUGUAUCGUCAAAGAGAGUGCCUGGAGGUUCAAAAUGUUCGUAAUUCCUUUCAUUUGUUUGACAAUUAUAGAAGUUUUGCUCAAAUCUGGGUUUAGUCACUUAGGAGCUUUGACCUUAUUAAAGUUAUUUAACCUCCCUGAGCCUCAGUUACCUCACUGGGAAAAUGAAGAUCAUAAUUAGACCCCAAAAUAUCAGGUGAGAAUUAACUGGGCUCACAGCAUAGCCUCUGACUGAUUAUAGGUGCUUAAUAAAUGUUAGUUCCUUUUGAAAGAUAGAAGUUGCCACCCAUGGAGAUUUUAAAACUUGCUCAAGAGCACUGCUGGUGAGAGCUGGGUCAGAAACAGCAGUUCAGAAGCUUCUAGCAGCGUUGCAAAGUCCCUCCUGGCAGGACAUCAGCAUUGGUCUCAUUCAUUGACACAUGUCUGAGGCCCAUGCCUGGGUACUAGGGAUAUGGGCAAUGUGGAGAGGCUGGUGGGCAGAGUACUUGGAGAGUGGUAGUUGCAUGGGAGUAGUCACAGAAAUCACUGUUUUGGGAGUCUUCAGCAGACUCCAUCACUGUGGCCAAGCUGGGGAGAUGAGGGUGGCUUGAGGUUGGGUUAGACAGGCAGGGCAGAGGUGUGUGGCAUUGUUGAUGGGCCAGGUCAACUUGGAUGAGGUCUCUUGGCAUGCACCUCUCCUAGGGGAUGUGAGAGCUGACCUCUGUGGGGAAAGACCUGGGCUAUCCAUCACCUGUUUGCUCAGGGCAUUAUGCCCUUGUGUGAGAGGCAGCUGAGUGGCCACAGGGCCUCUGCAGCCUCCAAACCUGGGAGACAAAGAGGGGAAGGCUGACUCCCUCUUGGUGAGGAACCAACUUCUUCUAAUUCAAGGAGGCUGGGGCUGCCACCACCUGACAUCAGCCAUGGGGACCGGUUUGUUCUGUCAUGUCUUCAGAGGACUGGCCUUGGAAAGCAGCACUGCUGGAAAUCCUGCUGUAAAGCACAGACUUCUGCCAUGGAGUCCAAGUUUGUCCAAGUUUUCAUGCAAUGGGUUUGCUAAAAGUGGGACCUAUUGUUUUGUUAUAGAAACCUGGGCUAAGGACUCACAGCAGAUAAAAAUAAACUUAUUUCAUUAUCAAAGUAAAACAUGUCCAUUGCAAAGGAUAUAGAAAAUACAAGAAAAGUGAAAUGUUAAAAUCAUGCACAGUGCCAUCCCAAACUCUUACUAAGAUUCUAUGUGUUAUGUUCGUGCAAAAGUAACUGCAGUUUUACCAUUACUUUUAAUGGCAAAUUAAAAGUUUAUUCCCUUUGAUGCAAUAUUGGGACUCUAAUUAAAAGUUACGGCAAACUCGCAAAACCUAAUAUUUUCUUCUACCAUUUUUUCCACAUACAUUUUUGCAGAUGUCAUCUUAGUUUCCUGCCAUUUUGUCACAUGCAUAAACAUAUUUUAAAUUAUUAUAAUAUGCUUAUACAUUUCUUUUGUUUACUGUCUUUUU